UACGGGGGGGGCAAGCGUUGUUCGGAAUUACUGGGCGUAAAGGGCUCGUAGGCGGCCAACUAAGUCGGAUGUGAAAUCCCCAGGCUCAACUUGGGAACUGCAUCCGAUACUGGAUGGCUUGAAUUCGGGAGAGGGAUGCAGAAUUCCCGGUGUAGCGGUGAAAUGCGCAGAUAUCGGGAAGAACACCCGUGGCGAAGGCGGCUCUCUGGGACGGUACUGACGCUGAGACGCGAAAGCGUGGGGAGCGAACAGG
rnacentral:rRNA from 1 species